CAAAACGUCACUCUGUAUGCAUUCAUCAAGAUCUUUCAUACAGUUUUGAGCCCCUUACACCAACCAUGCUUUCUGUACUCCAAAAUGUUACAGUGCCAUCAGAAUCGAGUCAGCUGGAAAGAUCUGAACAGCACAGUAGCCAAACUGCGGCAGAGGAAGCAGGUAAUUGUUUUUAUUUUAUUUUAAAUGUUAAGCAUACUUAAAAUAUAUACUCGGAUUCAAUUGACUGUGAAAUGUAUAAAAGUAUAAAAUAUAAUUGCUUAAUGGACAUGUAGUUGAGAUUAUACUUAGAUCAUUAACACAUCAUGCACUUGACAUGGUUCCUCCAACUAUGGACAAAAUAAAUCACACCAUGGUGCCUUGUGAUCUCAUUUUGAUAAGUUAUGUGACAACACUAACUUUCAUUUAACACUUUGUUGGGACAUUGCCUACGUUUGUGAUGUGUAAACAUAUAGUGGAUUAAAGAGUUCCAGAGCAGAAAGAGAAGCCCCCAGUUAUCUCCUAUGUUGGGGGAUUUUUCCUCUGUGCUUUACCACACCUGCAUUGCUGUUGUUAGCCAAACAGUGGUGUAGCAGACAGGCAGGUUUUUUUUUGGUCUAACAUGCUGCUGCUAAAGUGUGACCACAACUGGAGCUCAAUUUGACAUAUUUGACCUAAAACCAUUACAUAUAUUGAGUAUACUUUUGCCAACACUAUUACUAAUUGCCUUUUCUUUCUCCUCUUGAAGCUGUAGUGUGCUGCAGUGAUGGGUCUGACUUUGAGUCAGACACAGUACACCAGCCUACUAAAAGAGUAGCAGCUCAAGGUAAGGUUGUGUAGUCACAUUGCAUUACAUUUCCAUUUUAUGUCCUGCUGUCACUGUUUUUGAUUAUGUGCUAUUAAUGACAGGGGGAAACCAGAAUGUUAUUAGUUGAUGUCUUUACAUGUCAUUACAGGUUCUUCAGUAGCUCCAACAGCUAUUUCAUCUUUGAAGCGCAGUAAACAAGAAAACGUUGUCUGGAAGCUAAAGCUGGAGAAUGCAAAAGAAAAAAUUAAGUCCUUGGAGAAUGAAAGGGACUUCUUAAGGAACCAACUGUCUGAGGCUUUGGCGCUUGCAAAUAAAGAGGACCAAGUGACGGCAGCGCCCUCCUUGCACGAAAAGAGUAUUGAAAAAUCCUCUUCCUCCUCCACCUCCUCCUCCUCCUCCUCCGACAGUUCCUCCUCUUCCUCAUCAUCUUCUUCAGAAAGAGGGAAGAAGAAGAAGAAGAAGAGGAACAACAGCAACAACAAAAAAGACAGCAAGAAAAAAAAAGGGAAGAAAGGAAACAAAAAGAACACCAAGAUAGGAAAGAGAGUCCUCACCCCAGAAGAGUCCAUGGAUCGCUACAGGCGCGUCUUGGUAGCAGUGAAAAAGGGCAUGACAAAAACUGAGGCAUACGUCAAAGUCGGGGUUGACCGAAAAACGGUAGCAGCAACGGCCGCCAUUUCGGAGCUACACGCUGUUGACAAGGACCUGUAUGACCAGCUGAGGGCAUCAAUGCCCAAGGGAGAGACACUUUAUCUUUUUUCGGCAAAAUGUAACCUAGAAAUUCUUGGCAGGAACCUUCAGGAUAAGGUGAAUGAAAAAAAAAGCAACGGGGAACUUUUGCAAAUUGGACACCGGGCAUAGUAAAGAAGAGAGCAGGUUUUUGUUUUGUUUUUAGGGUGCCUUUUUUUUGUUCCAUUUUAAAAUGCCCUUUUUUUUGGUUGAUUUGUUCAGUGACAUCGAGAAAUGCCUUGUUAAAAGUGCAGCCUUUGUUUUUGUUCCCAUUUAAAAUGCCUUUUUUUGUUUCUGUUUGUGUUUUAAAUUGUUAAUAUUGUCUGUAUUACCCCGUUAUUAUGUUAUUAUUAUGUUAUAAAUGUUUAACUUAAGUGUCUGUAGUUCCCUCAUUGUCAUCAACAGUGGUUUGGCGUUUUAUAACUAACCCUAAAGUGCUUCACUGCUGGUAAACGAAUGAUUCAAAAAGCUUCACUACUGGUAAACAAAUGGUUGAAGAAGCUUAACUAAUGGUGAACGAAUGGUUCGCGAAAGAGUAACAACUCAGUAUGAUGCAUUACUUUACAUGAAGGUACACAAAAAGCUUCACUACUGGUAAACGAAUGAUUAGAAAAGCUUCGCUACUGGUAAACGAAUGGUUGAAAAAGCUUAACUACUGGUGAACGAAUGGUUCGCGAAAGAGUAACAACUCAGUAUGAUGCAUUACUUUACAUGAAGGUACACAAAAAGCUUCACUACUGGUAAACGAAUGAUUCAAAAAGCUUCGCUACUGGUAAACGAAUGGUUGAAAAAGCUUAACUACUGGUGAACGAAUGGUUCGCGAAAGAGUAACAACUCAGUAUGAUGCAUUACUUUACAUGAAGGUACACAAAAAGCUUCACUACUGGUAAACGAAUGAUUCAAAAAGCUUCGCUACUGGUAAACGAAUGAUUCAAAAAGCUUCGCUACUGGUAAACGAAUGGUUGAAAAAGCUUAACUACUGGUGAACGAAUGGUUCGCUAAAGAGUAAAAACUCAGUAUGAUGCAUUACUUUACAUGAAGGUACACAAAAAGCUUCACUACUGGUAAACGAAUGAUUCAAAAAGCUUCAAUACUGGUAAACGAAUGAUUCCAAAAGCUUCACUACUGGUAAACGAAUGAUUCCAAAAGCUUAACUACUGGUGAACAAAUGGUUCGCGAAAGAGUAACAACUCAGUAUGAUGCAUUACUUUACAUGAAGGUACACAAAAAGCUUCACUACUGGUAAACGAAUGAUUAAAAAAGCUUCGCUACUGGUAAACGAAUGGUUGAAAAAGCUUAACUACUGGUGAACGAAUGGAACGCGAAAGAGUAACAACUCAGUAUGAUGCAUUACUUUACAUGAAGGUACACAAAAAGCUUCACUACUGGUAAACGAAUGAUUCAAAAAGCUUCGCUACUGGUAAACGAAUGGUUGAAAAAGCUUAACUACUGGUGAACGAAUGGUUCGCGAAAGAGUAACAACUCAGUAUGAUGCAUUACUUUACAUGAAGGUACACAAAAAGCUUCACUGCUGGUAAACGAAUGAUUCAAAAAGCUUCGCUACUGGUAAACGAAUGGUUGAAAAAGCUUAACUACUGGUGAACGAAUGGUUCGCGAAAGAGUAACAACUCAGUAUGAUGCAUUACUUUACAUGAAGGUACACAAAAAGCUUCACUACUGGUAAACGAAUGGUUGAAAAAGCUUAACUACUGGUGAACGAAUGGUUCAAAAAGCUUAACUACUGGUGAACCAAUGGUUCGCGAAUUAGUAAAAACUCAUCAUCAGUCAGAUCCAGCUCCACCAGUCGAUCCAGUGUGGGACCCAAGCCAUCCCUCGACAGCGCUUGAAACCAAGGGCGGCAGGUUUAAAGCGUGCCCUGCAGCGGUGGACAAUUGCUUUUAAGCCUUCAGCAUUACUAAUGCCACAUAAUAAACCUUU
rnacentral:lncRNA from 1 species